GCCUACGGGAGGCAGCAAUCAGGAAUAUUGCGCAAUGGGGGAAACCCUGACGCAGCGACGCCGCGUGCGGGAAGAAGGCCUUCGGGUCGUAAACCGCUGUUGUGGGAGAAGAAUGUCUUCCCAAGGGAAGAAGAGACGGUAUCUCACAGGGAAGCCCCGGCUAACUACGUGCCAGCAGCCGCGGUAAUACGUAGGGGGCGAGCGUUGUCCGGAAUUAUUGGGCGUAAAGCGCGCGUAGGCGGCUCUUUAAGUGGCCGGUGAAAUCCCCGGGCUCAACCUGGGUAGGUCUGGUCAUACUGGAGAGCUGGAGUGCGGGAGGGGAGAGCGGAACUCCUGGUGUAGCGGUGAUAUGCGUAGAGAUCAGGAAGAACACCCGUGGCGAAGGCGGCUCUCUGGACCGCAACUGACGCUGAGGCGCGAAAGCCAGGGUAGCGAACGGGAUUAGAUACCCCGGUAGUCCA
rnacentral:rRNA from 1 species